rnacentral:rRNA from 1 species
GGGGAGAAUCGGAUGUAACAUUUUCUAUAGAUAUCCGUGGAUAUAUUAUUUGCCUGAUUCUGAGUCCGUAUUAGAAAGUUACGCCUAUUUUAAUAAAUGACACCCGAAUGAC